ACAAUAACACAAAAAUGCCAAAAGAAUGAUAUUUGCUUUUAUAAUCUUUUCCUUGCCUCCUAGAAAAUUAUCAGCUACUUUUACAACAAAACAGAAAAAGUUUCAAUACAUAAGUGAGAAAUCAGUAGUGAAUAAACCCCAUAAGGACAUAUCCAAAAUUGAAGAGCUUGCACUGUGAAUCUGCAUCCUUUUUGUUUUUUUAUCAGUAAAGAGACCAAGCCCAAAUCUUGCAUGUUUAAUCAGAUCGUGGCAGCAAGAAACUAAAUCCUGAAUUUUCACGAAUAAGAGGUGGUGGUUCAAUGUCUGAGAUAUCAAUUUGUUCCAUUGACUUGGACAAGUCAUCCACUGAAAAUGGAAUGCUUGAAUCAUCAUCCAACAGGAAAGAACUGCUAACAGCAUUGUUUGAAUCUUCCGUCAUUAACACCCUCAUAUUGGAUAUAACCUAGAAAAGAACAAUUCAUAUGGGAAAGGUCAUCAUUGUCAGUUUGUGCUUCCAUGUGAUAGAGAUGACUCUACCCUAUUUUAUGUAAUGGAAUUGCUGAAAGCUUACUUCUGAGGACACACUGUGUGUCCCAUACUUGUCAUCCCAGUACAUUGUACUAAUCCGGUAGAGCUGCUGUAUACUGAGAACCGGGCACAGGUCAUGGCUUAUUUCAUCCAAUGUUUUCUUUGGUUUUUGAUGUAUGACCAGAAACCCAAUAGCCUGUCUUAUGUGCUUAAGCUCAUCCCAAGCUGAACCUGCAUACUCAUCUGUUGCCUUGUAACACCAAUGUUCCAAUUCAGCCAAUCCAGCUUUAACGUAUUCACCAUUACUAAAUGAACAGCACUCUCGCCUCAGCAAAAGACUGUUAAAUAGUUGAACAUUGAUGAAAGAAAAUAUUUGUGUGAACACCUUACGAACUAAAAAUGGGGGUACAUGAUUUGCUUUCAAAGUGUUUAAGAAGUUCCCAAGGCUCUUCACAAUCCCUUGCCAGUGAGCAAUCAAAGCUUGUUGUGCUGCAGUGUUUGCAACUGAACGUACUCCCUUAACUAAGCUUGCUCUGGAUAUUCUUGGUGCCUGGAUGCACAAUCCAAGCAAAGGAGAAAUUUCUUUCUUCAGAUUAUCUCGAAUCAUUCCAUAAAUUUUUUCGACAUAGGCUGUAAGCUGCUGUUUGAAAAGCAAAGCCGGGUACUUAGCUUCAACUUGUCGCAAAGUAUCCACUCCCCCAUUAAUGCCCCCAUUGAUUAAGGAAAGAUUGACUCCUUGGGGAGCUCCACGGAAACUCUGUGUCAUUCUUCCAAACAGAGUAGCAGAUGAUGAUCGGCGACGUUGUGGAGCCAUUCCUGCUGCACCACUUGCCUUCAAUGUGCGCUGAAGUAGCAAGAGAAGUGUUGAUGCAUUGGAUAACCAGUAUGCCAAUACAUCAUUGUUAUCCUGUGUCUCAAUAGCGUGGCCUAUGGUCUGAAUUAUCCGAUCAAAGACACUAGUCCGCUCAACUUCAAAUGAUCUCCAUUGCAGAAGGCAUUUGUAUAUGAUACAGGCAGCAAUGGGUCUGUUCCCUGAAAAGCCUAGGUGUUGUGCAAUGCAGCGAAUAAGCAACUCCUGGUUCUCUUGUUGUUUCUCAUUUAGUGACUUUUGAGGUUUAUCAUCUACUUCAGAGAGGUCCCUAUGGUUUAUGGAAGCGCUAUGCAGUUCCAAGCCUGCCUUUGCUUCCACUGGAAUGUGACUUUCGGCCCGCUGCAUAAUUGAUCUGGAGCGUCCUGAAAGAAACUUAUUUGGUGCCAUGGACACAGCCUGUUGCCGCAGAACUUGAUUCUCUGAUUCUAAAUUUGUGAGCUUCUCUUCUAGCCUCUGCAAAGAUUCCUGAAGCUGUUGAAACUUUUUCUCAGUGUCAUCUAAUUUUUUUUGUCUUUCCUCACUAGACUCUCGGACUUCAUUGUAUUUCUUUUCAUUGCUAUCAGCUCUUUGUUUCUCAGAAUCCAAAGAUUCCUUUAGUUUUUCCACUUCUGCUGUUAGAGACUCAACUUUCUUUGUAUCUUCAACAAGUACUUGAGUUUCUUUGAUAACAGGAGGUGCUUCUUCAAUAGCCUUCUUUGCAGCCUCUCGUUCCUUUACUAGCAAUGUAUUUGUUUCUUCUAUCUUCUUUUGCAGUUCUUCUAUUGAAUUCUGAAAUUUUGUAGCCUCAUUUGCUUUUGCUUCUUCUAAGUCAGUCCUUAAACGUUUUUCCAAUUGUAAGCGCCAAGUGAGUUCCUCUACUUGUUUCUCAAGUUUAUUUUUGGCCUCCUUUAGUGCACCAGUUUCCCUUGCUGCCAUUUUAAGCUUCCUAAGCUCCCUCCUGGCAACUCUUCCCCUCCAUCUGGUUUGCGAGACAAUUGCUCCUUUCUUGAGCCUAUUGUAGUAGGAAACAGCUCUAUGACAGCGCCACCGGGUCUGAAUAGUAAUUGCAGCCUUAGUUUGCCUCCUAAAUCUGAAUUCCUUAUGAGCAGCCAUUGAUCUUAAACCCGUUUGCAAGAGAAGUGCACAGACAUGAAGUUUCUUGUAAGCUUUUCUUGCUUCAUAUUUGCGUAUAUGCUUCUGCAUUUUUAUAGCAGCUGCCUCCCGUUUCAGGCGAUCAAAAAGUUUGCAAGCAAGUCUUCCUCUCCAUAGCGCCUGAACGAAUAUGGUGGCUUUCCGAAGGGCAAUAAACCGUUUACGAGCACAAUGAGUUCGUAUUCGACGUUGGAUAGUUUUUGCUGCAUUGCUGAGUACUUCAGCUCUCCGUGCAUCUAAUUCAGCCAUCUGACCGGCUCUUAGGAAUACCUUUGUUUUGCCUAUCUGAAAGCCUUGAAGCCCCUUCUUUUCCAGAAUUUUUUUGCAAGCAACCUUUUCAUCAUAGUUUCCUUCCAAAGCCUCUGGAGCAAGAAGCCCAAAUCGGUUUAUGAAUUCAAAGAAAGGUUUGCGAGUAGGGUAUCCAGCACAACUGAUUCUGAUUGCUUCUAGAACACCACCACAUCGCAAUUGUUGCAUGAUAUUGACAUUCUCAAAUAUGGCAGGUUUGAGUAAGUUAUUUGGCUUUACACAUCUGAUAU
rnacentral:misc_RNA from 1 species